rnacentral:rRNA from 1 species
CUACGUGCCAGCAGCCGCGGUAAUACGUAGGGUGCGAGCGUUAAUCGGAAUUACUGGGCGUAAAGAGUGCGCAGGCGGUUUUGCAAGACCGAUGUGAAAUCCCCGGGCUUAACCUGGGAACUGCAUUGGUGACUGCAAGGCUAGAGUGUGUCAGAGGGAGGUGGAAUUCCGCAUGUAGCAGUGAAAUGCGUAGAUAUGCGGAGGAACACCGAUGGCGAAGGCAGCCUCCUGGGAUAACACUGACGCUCAUGCACGAAAGCGUGGGGAGCAAACAGGAUUAGAUACCCUGGUAGUCCACGCCCUAAACGAUGUCUACUAGUUGUCGGGGAUUAAUUUCCUUGGUAACGCAGCUAACGCGUGAAGUAGACCGCCUGGGGAGUACGGCCGCAAGGUUAAAACUCAAAUGAAUUGACGGGGGCCCGCACAAGCGGUGGAGCAUGUGGUUUAAUUCGAUGCAACGCGAAGAACCUUACCUACUCUUGACAUCCAGAGAACAUUC